AUCCCCUGGAGAAGGCAAAGGCUACCCACUCCAGUAUUCUGGCCUGGGGAAUUCCAUGGACAGAGGAACCUGGCAGGCUACAGUCCAUGGGGUGGCAAAGAGUCAGACACAACUGAGCAAGCGACUUUCACUAGCAACUAAACAGCCAACAACCCCCUCCCCCCAAUAAAGCCUAACAUUUCUAUGAUUUGGUCAAAAUAAACCAAUAGAAAGGGUGAAAAUAGACUAGACCAUUGAAAGCCAGACUCAGUCUUGCCCCAUUAUUUUUCUCCCUGCAUAAUCGAUGGCCUAAUUCUUUUGUCUUUGAACUCCAAGGAUUCAGCAAACCGUUAGAGAAAUAAAUAUAUUUGAGAGCCACAAAAUGACUACUGAUUCAAAGCAUCACAGAGGGAAAAAAGUGCCUGGAUCAUUCACACAACCAGAAAACUAGUUUGGAAACUUCGGCUUAGUACUCAUUUGUGUGCAUAUUUGCUAGAACUCAAGCACCAAAGCCUUAUUUCUCUCAAAUUUGCACACAGUAAAAGUCCUGAUUGAAUCAUAAAUGUAAAGAUCUUUAUAGAAAACCAAUGAGAAAUUUGACAAAUUAGCUAAAUUUUAAGCAGAAGAGACAGCUAAUCUGGAUUAUUCGUGUCUCAAUAGCAGUUCUCCUGGCUUAAUCUCACAGCCAGUUGCCUCUCUCCAGAGCGUGUGGCUGACUGCAUUCUCAUCCAGAAAAAAAACAUUAGAAGGACUGCUCCUGGAGACUUCAAAACAGCACAGCAGCAGAGAGCAAGAAGUAUCCAGCUUUUAGUCAGCACAAAAUAUGCGAGCAUAGUUUUCUGACUGUUUGUCAUAAAUUUCUUGUCUUCUUGUCUGAAACAUAUGCCUGUUGUUCAAAAUCCACUCUAGAUGAUCUGAAAGAAACUCAAGUUAUAAUUUCUUCAGUUAUGUUUUGUUUUGAAAAUUUCAGUCAUUAAAACAGGAUGAAAUGAAUAUGUUGUCUGUUUUUGUGCGUCCUGUAAGUAAGUACCAGUGACACUCAGCUGUAGAGUGUUUACAUCACAGCGACUGUUGCCCCCGUCAUUCGUGACGGAGAAAGGGGUCCUGAGGGCUCAGAUCACAUAGCAGGAUGAAGAGACUUCUGAGAAGCUUUCAAAACCACAGAAACCAAAAACAACAAAAAAAAAUCACUGUAAAAAUAUUAGUAAGUUUUAUUGGAGUCAAGAAGAUGAACUGUUAAAGUGUAUUUUUUAAAAGGAAAAUCAUAUACUGUUUUUUUUUUACUGAAAUGGCUUGUUAGUAACGUUAGUGUAUAUUGUAAGCCUUGCGUAAGGCUAAUAGUUGUUUCUUUUCUAAAUAAUAAGAAAAAUCAAGUUAAUGUUGCUCUUUCUGAGCAGACAAAAUGCACCAGCAACUGAAAUGUUUAAUUAACACAUGAGGCUGUUGGAAGAACAUGAGCUUUGCAAAGUUACAGGAAGUGAACCUGAGUCUUAGAUUAUAGUACGUAUGUUAUCAGAGGCUGCUUAACCUGUGUAAGCCUUGAUUUAUUCAUCUGUUAAACUGACUGGUAGAAAUAUAUCUGUAUUUCUCAGAAUUAUUAUGAGUACUAAGGGACGCACACAAGGGGCCAAGUGUAGAUUCUUGUAAAGUGUAAACUCCCUACUCACCAGAUGCUACUUGGUUCUACCAUUGCUUGCUACUGUUGCUACUAAUCAUAAGACACAGAGUUAUAAAUACUUCCAAGUAAUCUUAAUACUGUUAGUCACCACUCUGACUGCUCUAAUCAAGACAAAUGAAUUUGAAGGAAGCUUUGUGGAGAGUCUUCUUAAUUUUUUCUCUUGCAGGUGAAAAAAAGAAAAGUGAAGUAGGCAGGUGCUUUUGUUUUGUGCCAGAAAACUUAUCCUAAGGUUCUUCUGCCUCCUCAUCGCUGAUCUGAUUCAUCAGCAUCUCUUUUUAGCCCUCAUAACUCUCGCAGUUCUCCAAGAAAGGUAUUUAAUAUGCAUGCAAGGCUGGUCACUCAUAUGUCAGUACCUUAUUCCCUCAAGGCAGCCUUCCAAGGGACUGGCGUAAACAUCAUUUUGGAUGAGCUUGUUAAUAACUGAAAGAGGUUUUAGGUGUGGGAGUUUAAACACAUUUAAACUGAAAAAGAGCUUUUCCUUUAAAACCCUGGAAGCUCAGGACCCGCUGCAUUUGGUAGCCUUCCAAGACCCCCGGGACCAGUGUGAGACCACUAAUCUCAGAGAGCCUCCCAGGCUGUUACUACUUCAGACUAAGGCUGAAGCUGGAAUCUGUUCGGUGUUCAAGAGCAGCUCCAGCACCGAGAAGUAACAAGAUACAAAUAAAUAACAAGAUUAAUAUAACACAAAACGGGCAUUUGGACAAAAAUUACCAUUAUUUCCUUUACAAUGACUGCUUCUGGGAAGGAUAGUUAAUAAAGAGGACAAAGAAUGAAAACUUGAAACUGAGCUUCAAAUGGAUGGAAUGUGACAUUAUACACAUGUAUUCUGAACUACCUGAUAAUCUUCAGCUACCUGAGAAAAACUGCCAGCGGUUUUUCAAAGAAAUUAAGGCUGUAGGAACCUGCAUUUCGUUGCCAUUCUUUGCAAUCUUGAUUCAUGAUCAUUUGUGGAGUACUAUAGAACUAUUGGUAAAUAAGGACCAGUCACACUGUCUAAACAGUAUUUCUCAGCAUUUGCCUGCUUCUGUAAUUACACUGUGAAUAUUUUUUAUUGUUGACAGUAAAAUAUGUAGCAUAUUUCACAAGUGGAAUUCUCACUGCCAGUCUCUUAAAGUACUGUUGAUAUUCUAUAUGCUAAUUAACAUUGUUGUAUUAUACUUUUGGUCAUAGAAAGCUGUUCUCUUUAGGACCUUCAGGGAGAAGAGAUCUCACUAAAAGCUUUAUGGCAUUAUGGUGGUCUAUUUACAAACACAUUCUUACUGAAAUGUAAGUUACUUUUAAAAUAUCUGAGGAAUUUAAAGCUUUUAAUAAUAAUGCUUUAAAAUACAUGUAAUAUUUCAUCAUUUAGUGAAGAGCUACAUAUUAAUACUCUGACAUUAAUAAAAUAUUUUAUAUAUUAGAAAAUGUAAUACUUUGACUUUGUCAUCUCCCAUCCUACUUAAAUACUAAGCUGGCAUUUUUGAAAGAAGAUGGAAACACACUACGAAGGCAAACAUCUGCGGUGGUGGAUUAUUUUCAUAAUUGGUUUUGAUGUCUGUUAUUUUAUUGCCCCGUAUUAAACUGACUCGUUGCAAAACUUAGAAAAGUUUUUUUUAUAAAGAAUUGUGUCAUCUCCUUGUGCAAUCAUUUUGCUGGUUUCUUUAUGCCAUUUUGUAACACUAAACAAAGCUAUCUUUAUUAAUUCUCUCAAAUAAAUCACUUCUUUCAGGAAA